rnacentral:rRNA from 1 species
CCUACGGGAGGCAGCAGUGAGGAAUAUUGGUCAAUGGACGAGAGUCUGAACCAGCCAAGUAGCGUGAAGGAUGACUGCCCUAUGGGUUGUAAACUUCUUUUAUAUGGGAAUAAAAUGUUCCACGUGUGGGAUUUUGUAUGUACCAUAUGAAUAAGGAUCGGCUAACUCCGUGCCAGCAGCCGCGGUAAUACGGAGGAUCCGAGAGUUAUCCGGAUUUAUUGGGUUUAAAGGGAGCGUAGGUGGAUUGUUAAGUCAGUUGUGAAAGUUUGCGGCUCAACCGUAAAAUUGCAGUUGAAACUGGCAGUCGUGAGUACAGUAGAGGUGGGCGGAAUUCGUGGUGUAGCGGUGAAAUGCUUAGAUAUCACGAAGAACUCCGAUUGCGAAGGCAGCUCACUGGACUGCAACUGACACUGAGGCUCGAAAGUGUGGGUAUCAAACAGGAUUAGAUACCCCUGUAGUC